GUCAGCAGCCAUAUAAUGUGCAGUGGAGACCAGGUAAUCCAACUGAAGCUAAGCAGGUUUGGGUCUGGCCAGUACUUGGGUGGGAGACCCACUAGGAAAGCUGGGUUGCUGCUGGAA
rnacentral:rRNA from 1 species